AUGGCCGUGACCACAAUGAGGUAGUAGGUUAUGCAGUUAUAGCCUCCCUUUUAUACUGAGUGGAGCACAGGAGAUACUGUGUAACCUUCUGCCUUUGUGGCUUCGUGUUU
ensembl:miRNA cin-let-7a-1 cin-let-7a-1